GAGAGUUCGAUCGACUCUCUCUCUCAUCUGACGCUCUCUCGUUGAUGCUGAGUUUUGAAAAUUCCGAGCACAAUUAGGGUUUUAUGACCCCAAACAUCAUCAAUGAAAUCAGCUUCUUCCCCAACCCAUCAUCGUGUGUGGUUUCUUAUUCGAACGCGCAAGUUAAGAAGGAGGAUAUAAUACUGGUGCGCGGUGAGGAUCGAAGGACGUUGCUUGUUUUGUUUCCAUAGUUGGUGUUUCUUCUUCUGAUUUGACCGACGGCCAAGUACAGGUCAGAGACAUGGAUUGAAGAACGAAGAAGAAGAAGACUCAAGACUAAUUAAGUUAACUCUGUUCUUCUCUGUUUCUUCUUUUUACUUGGAUUUUGAGAUUUACCAAGUUAUACUAACCUGCUUCUGAUGCUGUUUUCUC